UACGAAGGUGGCAAGCGUUGUUCGGAUUUACUGGGCGUACAGGGAGCGUAGGCGGUUGGAUAAGCCCUCCGUGAAAUCUCCAGGCUUAACCUGGAAAGUGCAGAGGGGACUGUUCAGCUAGAGGAUGGGAGAGGAGCGCGGAAUUCCAGGUGUAGCGGUGAAAUGCGUAGAUAUCUGGAGGAACACCGGUGGCGAAGGCGGCGUUCUGGACUGCAACUGACACUGAGGAACGAAAGCCAGGGGAGCAAACGGG
rnacentral:rRNA from 1 species